rfam:Wallemia sebi CBS 633.66 unplaced genomic scaffold WALSEscaffold_41, whole genome shotgun sequence.
GGUAAAGUCGGAUAGUGGUUAUUCCGUUGAUUUCAAGCUUAGUUGCUUUCCAAGUAUCUUGGAGAUUGUCAAUGCCUUGUGCGUCGAGAGUUCGAAUCUCUCCUUUACCA